rfam:Agrilus planipennis Contig27101, whole genome shotgun sequence.
AAGUAGCUUAUUCUUUUAACGUUUAAGACAAUCGAUCUGCGGUUCAAUAAACUAUAUAAUUCAGCAAUACAAAUCAAUCAUUAUUUCGGCUGAAGAGGACCUUCAUUGGUCCUAGAACGGCCUAAGGUAGAGGGAUUUUAGUCGGUAGGUCCGAGGACUUGAUCCUCGGGAAUCCGACACUACCCAGUCGUACGGACGGCUGGGUGUCUUUUGAAGAUUUCCCCUCAUCCACGAAA